AAUCAACGCUGGCGGCGUGCCUAACACAUGCAAGUCGAACGCGAAAGGUUCCUUCGGGGACCCGGUAGAGUGGCGGACGGGUGAGUAACACGUGGGUAAUCUGCCUUUGGGUGGGGAAUAACCCUUCGAAAGAGGGGCUAAUACCGCAUAACGCAGCGGCACCGAAUGGUGACAGUUGUUAAAGUGGGGGAUCGCAAGACCUCACGCCUGAAGAGGAGCCCGCGCCCGAUUAGCUAGUUGGUGCGGAAUGGCGUACCAAGGCGACGAUCGGUAGCCGGCCUGAGAGGGCGGGACGGCCACACUGGCACUGAGAGACGGGCC
rnacentral:rRNA from 1 species